CUUUGACCAACAUCUCCCCGACACCCCCCUGUUCCCCCCAACCGCUGUAACUGCCAUUCUACUCCCUACUCGUGGGUUCCAUUUUUUUAGAUUCCAUAUAUAAGUGAGAUCACAAAGUAUGUGUCUUUCUGUGCCUGGCUUAUUUCACUGAACAUAAUGUUCUCCAGGAAAAUAACUCUUAUCUGAGACCCUCGGAACCACCCCAAAAUGAAAAGACCACUAACUCAAGAAAGGUGACGGAUUCUCUGCAGCUUCUACAAGGUUCCCACAGAGGGAUCAGUACAGCCAUUAAAUAGAGCUCUUUCCUCAAAGUAAAAAUUAUUAGCUGGUCCAACUAUGAAGACACAGGAGAAUUAAAAUACAGAAAAGCUGAUUUACAUAAUCUUCUAACAUCUUCUUGGGUUCCCAGCUAUACACUGAAAACAAAGCAGGGACAACUAGUAUAAGGACAAAGGAAAGAAGACUCCUCAACUCUGAUGGAUCAUAGUGGCCAAAUGAGAAAACUCAGAACCCUAAGAAGCAAUAAACACACAAAUCUGAUUACCCAUGGCUUGACUCCUACAGCUAACAAACAGUUGCUGAGUCUACCAACAGCCUUGUCAUGUGAGACAAGGUGAAUUACAUAACUGCAUCAUAAUCUACUUACUACUUCUUAUGGGUUGAAUUGUGUCCUGAAGAAAAAUAUGCUAAAGUCCUCACACCUGGUACCUGUGAAUGUGACCUUACAUAUAUCUAUAGCACUUGGCCCUCUACCUCACAUAAGGUAAGCAUUCGAAAAAUGGUUGAAAGGAAGGAGCUUAGAAAGGAAUAAAUUUCAGGUGAAAUGGUGACCAACUCAAGUUGUGAUGGAAGUUUUACAGAGCAACAGCUCUCAACCACUAAGCCAUGGCACUGGUACAGAACUACCAAUUAUGAAGUACAGACAAUUGCCAUAAGCAACAUUAAGGAUCGAGGUUUAGGAGGAAUUUUCCUUGUUUUUUUAAAUAAACAUAAAACAGAACUAAUUCAAGGUAAUCCCUAUAAUAAUGACACCCUUACUCACUCACAUUCUGAUGCUUUCUUGAAUGUCAGUGGGAGAAGUAGCAUUAGAGUAACAUACCAGAAUUGCAUCCAACCCUGGAAUACUCACAAAAGAGCAUUUUGUGGGAAAAACAGAUAAGAACUGCUGCUAUAAAAAAAGAGAAGAAAAAGGCCGGGCGCGGUGGCUCAUGCCUGUAAUCCCAGCACUUUGGGAGGCCGAGGCGGGCGGACCACGAGGUCAACAAUUUGAGACCAGCCGGACCGACAUAGUGAAACCCCGUCUCUAUUAAAAAUACAAAAAGUAGCCGGGCAUGGUGGCGCACACCUGUAAUCCCGGCUUGCAGUGAGCCAAGACUGCAUCAUUGCACUCCAGCCUGGGGACAAGAGCAAGACUU